CCUACGGGAGGCAGCAGUGAGGAAUAUUGGUCAAUGGACGAGAGUCUGAACCAGCCAAGUAGCGUGAAGGAUGACUGCCCUAUGGGUUGUAAACUUCUUUUAUAUGGGAAUAAAACGUUCCACGUGUGGGAUUUUGUAUGUACCAUAUGAAUAAGGAUCGGCUAACUCCGUGCCAGCAGCCGCGGUAAUACGGAGGAUCCGAGCGUUAUCCGGAUUUAUUGGGUUUAAAGGGAGCGUAGGUGGAUUGUUAAGUCAGUUGUGAAAGUUUGCGGAUCAACCGUAAAAUUGCAGUUGAAACUGGCAGUCUUGAGUACAGUAGAGGUGGGCGGAAUUCGUGGUGUAGCGGUGAAAUGCUUAGAUAUCACGAAGAACUCCGAUUGCGAAGGCAGUUCACUGGACUGCAACUGACACUGAGGCUCGAAAGUGUGGGUAUCAAACAGGAUUAGAUACCCCAGUAGUC
rnacentral:rRNA from 1 species